rnacentral:rRNA from 1 species
CCUACGGGAGGCAGCAGUGGGGAAUUUUGGACAAUGGGCGCAAGCCUGAUCCAGCAAUGCCGCGUGAGUGAAGAAGGCCUUCGGGUUGUAAAGCUCUUUUGUCAGGGAAGAAACGGUCUACUCUAAUACAGUGGGCUAAUGACGGUACCUGAAGAAUAAGCACCGGCUAACUACGUGCCAGCAGCCGCGGUAAUACGUAGGGUGCAAGCGUUAAUCGGAAUUACUGGGCGUAAAGCGUGCGCAGGCGGUUAUAUAAGUCAGAUGUGAAAUCCCCGGGCUCAACCUGGGAACUGCAUUUGAGACUGUAUGGCUAGAGUGUGUCAGAGGGGGGUAGAAUUCCACGUGUAGCAGUGAAAUGCGUAGAUAUGUGGAGGAAUACCGAUGGCGAAGGCAGCCCCCUGGGAUAACACUGACGCUCAUGCACGAAGACGUGGGAGGACGAACAGGAGUAGAUACCUACGUAGUACCACCGACCCUAAACCGAACUAGUCUACUAGUUGUCGGGUACGUUAA